AACGACUUCCUUCAGAAAGCAUGUUUAAAUCUAAAAAAAGCCCAUGAUACAAAAGAGUAAAGGAGCAGAAGGAAUAGUUAGUGCAGGUGGUGGAAAGGCUUUGGGCUGUCAGAAGGUUAAUCACUCACCCCAGUAUACCGACUCUUUGGCUGCUUUUGCAGUGAUUGUAUUUGGACGGUACAAUUGAAUUUCUGGUCGAUAGUGACAUCCCAGGACAUUGAUUAUGGGAGACUCAAUAACAGCAAUGCCAUUGAAUGGCAAAGAAUGUUCUGGGGGCAGCCCGCAAGUGUCGCCACACCUCCAGCGCCAAUAUAGCAUGCCCACAACUUCCUAACUCGUACAUCUUUGGAAUGUGGGAGGAAACUGGAGGAAACCCACGCAGACCCAGGGAGAACGUACAAGCUCCUUACAGACAGCGGCUGGAAUUGAACCCAGGAAAAUCCUGGACACUCACUCCCAAAGGCCUGGUGCAGCACAGAACUCACUGGAAAAACAGGAAACACAUGUGAAUGCCAGAUACAAUUAACGUUUCUUCAUGCAAACAUGAAAAUAGAGAUAUUGUAACUGGCAAAGACCUAAACUUUCAAGUAGGCCCUCUGAAAUACCUGAAUAUAUGGUGAAACCGAGGUGGUCAAGAAAUGAAAGCUACUUCCGCAAAGUGAUGAAGUGGACAUUGAAACCUCCUUCAAGGCCUUGAACAUCAUGAAGUCACUCGUGAUAAUAUUUUCAAAAGCAUCACAGUCAUGGCCCUCUGUCUGUUUCAUUGUGGCCUUUUUAACAACAGCUUACAUUUACAUCCAAGGACUUUCACAGAAAUGUAAAGAAACAAAACAUUUGAAGUGACUCAAAAAUUCAUCAAGAGGGUGACUAAAAACUUAAGCAAAAUCAAGGCUUUUACGGUCUUCUUUGAAGGAGGAGGGGGAGAUGGAGAUGGAAGUAUAUAAGGAAAGAAUUCCAGAGAAUGGGAUUUAGGCAGCUCAUGGCACAGCUACCAGUGAUGACGUAAAAGGCUUGGGGAAAGAGAUCCAAAUUGGAACGGUGGAGAAUUCCACACACUGGAUUGUGUGCCUGAAGAAGUUACAGAGAUAAAUGGUAAACUCAAUUCUUGGAAUUGCUCAGAAUAACUUUUUUCUGAAACCAUCUUAAACUCUCUGAGGAAAUAUCACUAACUGGAGUAAUAUUGUUUGCAAAGCUUCUCUGGGACAGCUUCAUCAUGUCUUGCUUCUCUUUUGAAAUUACUUUGCUUCCCUUUUUGUUCACUUUCUUGCCCCUUGUAGUUUUUCAUGAGCCACUGCUGUGUUUUCUUCUUUAGUUUUUUGCUGACAUAUUUUCCUCCAUUCUUUAUCUUUGUCCCUUCCCCCCACCCCUAACCCCACAAACCCUGAUUUUUCAUGUUAACCUUUAAGGCUGCCCUCUAACCUUGCAUUCUGCCUGAUGUAUCCUUGAAUGGGAAUUGAGGGGACAAACACAAAACAGAGAGCAACAAUUAUAAAUUAUUCUGCUGUAAAAGAAUAGAGAACUGAUCAGUUUAAGAACAGUUAAAAUAGCUGUUAGGAUUGUCUGAGAUAAUCUUCAGCUUUAUUUUACUCUUCAAAUAAUUCAACCUUCAAAAUAUUUGCAGAUUUUUGACCAAGUAGAGCUGAACUGACUUAAUGGGACAUCGCAGCAGUUGUUCUUCCUGAAAUUCCUCACUCUGCUCCUUAUUAUGAGCUGAGAUAACUGCAAGCAUGUGGUUGUAAUCAGCCUUGUUUCCGUCCAGCCCUACAAAUGGUUUGUCACCUAUAUUCCAAACACAUUUCAUUGCAGGGACUGACUUACAAUUAAUCGCCUGUUUUUGCCAGUUGCCUACUGAAAGCCUUCAUUUAUUAAAAAAAAUUGAAUCUUAAUUUCAUCAUCAGUAGCAUCAACUGCAUUAUUUAUUUAACAGAUUCCUCAUCGAAGUCCAGCUCCCCCAUGAUUUAACUGGAAAAGGCACCAUGUAAUGAGCAUAGCUUUAAACAGAACUUCAUAUCCAAGGUGCCAUUCCUGAUCUGGGCUCUGUUACUUUAUUUCAGCAUGUUUGUAUCAAGACAGUUAUUAAAGUUGUCUUUAAAAGGCCCUGGGCUGGAAAAUGGAGAGUAUAGUGGUAGGGGACUGUAGUGGCAUCAUGGGCAUGAAUCGGCAUGAAUUCCAACUCCUGAUUAUUGAUCCUAAAGUUUUCUGCUGUUGCAAACAAUAACUGUGUAGUUAUAGUCAAGGUUAUUUUUCUCAUUAGUUAUCUGUAGAUAAUGUCCUCACACCACUCUUACUCACACUGCUUAGCUCCACUGGAAGUACAAUGGGGACCAGUUUCAGUGUUGACUUGAUGUGGAGAAGUUCUGAGGAGUUUUUGCUUCUACAAUUUAUUUUUAAGAGACAACAACUGAGCAUUUUUCCAAGUGCUGGACAUUGUGUGUAGGCUUGCCCACCACCCAGAGCUGUCUAGGAAUUUGUUCAUUUCCUGGGUACACCUACAAGCAAUCCAAGAGAAACCCACUAAAGAAUGGUGUGCAUAUGCUUUUAUUUCCACUUAUUUAUCUGUUACAAGUAUGUUGCAGAUGAGAAAAAAUAUGGUCUAUUUGACUAGAGAGGACAGAUGAAGGAGGGGAGGAUGUAGCAAUUGGGUUCAAAGCUGCUGGGCUAGGAAAGGAAAAAUAAUGGAGACCUCCCGAAAUAUGUAGUACCAGAGAUGGGAUGUCCAGCUGCAUAGAAGAGGGAUUUAGAUCAGACACGUGAAGUUAAAGAUACAAUAAGAAGGUGCAGAAAGCUUCUCAUUGCAUAUUAUUUUGCAUUGAAAGGCUAACAAAUAUCACCAGGAGCAACCAAAAGCAAAUCAAACUGGAAGAGGAUACAUCCUCUACACUGUGUGUCACAAUCUCAUAGACCUAUGUACCAAAACAUUGUUCUGUUAUUGAUGUACCUGAAUGACAAGGUAAAUCUUUCCCCUAUAAUAAACACCGAAAAUGUUUUAAACACUCAUCUGAUCAGGCAGCAUCUAUGGAAAGAGAAAUGGAGUUAAUGUUUCAAGUUGCAGAUCCUUCAUUAGAACUGGUAAAAUGAGAAAACAAGUUAGUUUUUUAAGUUUUAUAGAGAGGAUGGGGGAAGGAUGGGGUAAAUCUUUUUCCUCAGAGUCUCUUGGUUGUGCAAACCAGGAGUGAUUCUAACAAUAAUGCACUCCUUAAAUCUAUGUAAUGGACGUUAAAGCAAUUUUUCUAUAUGAAUCACACAAUGAACGCAUUUCCCACAUUCAUUAUUAGGAAACCCAUCAGCACAUUUUUAUUAAACAUCAGUUAAAUGUUAAAUUAAACAGGGAGACUUCAUAAAGUACUGGUCAAGCAAGCAAACCAAAGGUUCAACUAGUAACUACCUUUCACCAUUUUGGACAGCAUGUAGAGGAUGAUAUCAUCUGUUAUUCAUCAUUUGUCUGAUGAACAAAAAUGAAUGUGAUCUUAUUUUUCAUCAAACUGCGUUACUUGGACAGAGAAAACCAGCUCCAAGAUGGUAUUCAUUAGAGAGCUGAAAACAUAUCCAUUACGAGACAAAGACAGCUGUCUUGAAGAAAUUAAAGCCAAUCAAAAAACACAUUUGCUCCUUAGCUGGGAAUUCAGAAAGGAAAGGAUGAGAGCAAUAGCACAUGUGUUUCCAAUGCCCCGCAGUGCCAAUGAUUACCAUGAUAAUAUGCACAUGUAAAGGGCCAGAGCUUCUUAUUUGCUUGCUCAGUCAUUAAUACUUGCCUCCCAAAAAGUGUCUGAAAUUUCAUUACUUCAUUGUGCAACUUUGUACCUGCAUGAAUAUUGCACAAAUAACCAUGCAGUAAGUAAGUAAGUAAGACUGUAAGUAAGUGUAGAAAAUGAAUAUCUUCUAUUUGGGUUAGGUACUGGAGGCAGUAAGUAUCUUUGCGAUUUUGUACAAUCAGAAGGAUGGGGAAGGAAACUUGAAACAAAAAGAAAUUUGGAAGUUCCCAUUUAAGUUCCAGCUAUUAAUUUCAUUUUCUUCUGUUAUAUAACUAUCUCUUCACCUAUUCGUAGGACUAGUAUAACAGCUUUGCAAUCAUAACAAUGUUUAUAGACAAAUGUCUCAGAAUUGGCUGAAGAUUUGGUGAAAUUCAAUGAACAAUCCUUUAUUUCUUGUUGAAGUCAGUUAUUGCUCUGUACUUAUUAUCUGCAGUUUUCAUUCACAUAUCAUUUCAAGGAGUCAUACUUAAAGGAUGGCACAUGUAAGUAUUAUCAAGUGUUAUGAUCAAAAUGAAUUAUGAAUAAUGGAUACAUUUAGUAGAAAAACACAUUAGGUUUUGAAUUUAUCUGUGCCUAUUGUCAUUGGUCAAACAAAGGCAAUGAGAGACUACAAGCAUAGUGGAAAAACUUUGCUCAUCUACUCAUUUGGUUAGUAAACAGUGAGAACACUUUUUUGUAGAAUGUUAAUUGUUUUACUGUGAAAUGAAUGUUACUAAACUCAUUGGGGAGGUGGAUAAUGUCUCAUGACAAACAAAAUACAUUUCCAAGUUUAUAGUAUUUUUAUAAUUUUUGUGCACCCAUCAAAUUUCAGAAAUAUACUAGUAGAGCUAGUCUUCUUCUUUUUGUCUUAAAAAUGUUGCAGACAAAAGUUGCUCAGAUUCUGACAAUGGAAGGCAGCAGUUUUUCCAAUGUAGUGAUUUCUUUCCAUAUUUUGUCUUGUCAUUUUUCCAGAUGUGAUAGUAGUUUGCAAUACCACAUCACACAGAUCAGAACUGACCAGAUGUGUAAUAGGAUAGAGUAGUUUUUUAGGAAAGCCCUGGAAUGAGAAAAGGCCCUUGAGUUUAUCAGAUCAUUGGGUUAUGGCCCUCUAUUCAAAUGGUGGAGAAAGUAAUUUGAUAUAAGAACAAUAAACAUUUGCACAGAUAGCAUUACAGAAUUUCCAGACUAAUUCUUAAAAGCUUUACUAAAGUACAGAACUCAUAUCAUUUGAGAAAAUUGAGAAGUAUUUGCUAAAUUUAAGAUCCCUACAUUUAUUGCAGAUUUUUGUUAUACAUAUGUUACCACUUCAUCUUAAAAUUAGGUUGUAAAAGUAAAAGAGCAAGCAAGGAUGAUGCAGAGCAGCUGCAUAACUACUUUGACCACAUUUGGUAAACACUUGGAGACACAACUGUGUGAAAGAUUUUACAUCAAAAGUUGCCAGAGCAUUAGAGAGUUCCAUACUGGAAAUGGAUGUAUGCUUACCACAGUG